rnacentral:misc_RNA from 1 species
UUCGAGUCGGGAUCGCACAGUUGAAUACUCGUCUCGUUGCUCUUCAUUUUGAAUCUAUUCACUAAUCUUAUACCGAUUCCUGGUGCGAUACAAUUGAAGUGACAUCCACUCGCGCUAAUCCAAUUAUCGGGUCUAUCGAUGUUUAAGUUUCUGGAAAGUAGAUCGAUAUCGUCGUUUCUAUCAAUGAAAUUUGUGUUUAGCGAAUAGCAUUUUUCUGGUAGAUCCAAAAAUUUAUCGUUCUCGUAAUCCGAACAGAGAAAUUCCUGAAACAAUAAAGACAAACAAUCGCACGACGUUUCGAGACAUCCAGAAGCACAUUCCGACACGUGCCAAGCGCCCCAAAUUCCUCCAGAAAGUUUUUCCGUGCUACUACCUCCACUGGUGCUACCCAGGAGGUGAAAUUUUACCCUAUUGUUACCGCAAGAUGUUCCUUCCAAUGCGGGGUGCGAUGUCCAGGUAUACCUAUCGCGUUCGCAAUGCAUGUCUCUACAGAUAUCAUCAAGAGGUUGUUGAUCAGAAUGUCUACUACCGAAUCCAUAUUUUAAAAUGCAUUGUUGAUUUGAAUCAAAUCUUUCGCCAGGUAGAGCACCUUCCGCG